CUACGGGGCGCUGCAGUGAGGAAUAUUGCACAAUGGGGGGAACCCUGAUGCAGCAACGCCGCGUGGAGAAUGACGCAUUUCGGUGUGUAAACUCCUUUUAUAUGUCAAGAAAAUGACGGUAGCAUAUGAGUAAGCACCGGCUAACUCCGUGCCAGCAGCCGCGGUAAUACGGAGGGUGCAAGCGUUACUCGGAAUCACUGGGCGUAAAGGACGCGUAGGCGGGUUGGAAAGUCAGGUGUGAAAUCCUGCAGCUUGACUGUAGGACUGCACUUGAAACUUCUAAUCUAGAGUAUGGGAGGGGGAGAUGGAAUUAGUGGUGUAGGGGUAAAAUCCGUAGAUAUCACUAGGAAUACCUAAAGCGAAGGCGAUCUCCUGGAACAUUACUGACGCUAAGGCGUGAAAGCGUGGGGAGCAAACAGGAUUAGAUACCCGCGUAGUC
rnacentral:rRNA from 1 species